UGAAUUAUUUAUGAGAAAUAUUAAAGGUAAGUUAGGGCUAGCCAUGAAGGCUCCUUUGAUAGCCGCCCACUAUUUCCUCUUCUCCCUUUUCUUGGCUAAUUGCUUCCUUUUCUUGCUCUUUUUCAUUAUGUCUUAAAGCAAGUUGAUGAGACCAUUAUGCAAUUGGGUUAAUUAGUUGGGUAGGUUCUUUCUUUGGGAUUCUU
rnacentral:lncRNA from 1 species